rnacentral:lncRNA from 1 species
CUUCCAUUUUACAAGCUUUUACAUAACACUUAGACAAAGCUGAGACAAACAUACUUUGUUUUUUAUUUGUAUACAUGUCUUUAGUCACAUAAGUCUAGAAUGACAGCUGUAUUGUAAUAUCCUAAAAUAACAGUUGUUUGUUUAACCAGAGCUACAAAACAAAUUUAAAAUAGGUAUGAACCCUAGUUCAUAAAACCUAAUAGACACAAGAAGUUAUCUUGAUAAACAAGAUCAGAUCAAUGUUUUUAAAAAUCUUGUCCUUUUCCCUCAGUUUAAUAAAUGUAGACUUGAUUUCAGUUUCAAAUCUCCCCAAGCUACCUAAAUUGAAAAAGCUGAGCUCUAUGGAGGUCUGGAUAUGUUAGCAGAAAGACUUUCCAACCUCACACAUCUAAAUUCAAGUGGAAAUAAACUGAAAGACAUCAGCACCUUGGAACCUUUGAAAAAGUUGGAUUGUCUGAAGAGCCUGGAUCUGUUUAACUGUGAAGUCACUGAUCUGAAUGGUUACUGAGAGUGUGUUCGGACUCCUGCCCCAGCUGACCGACCUGGACGGCUACGAUGCAGAAGACGGGGAAGCCCCCUGACGCAGAUGUGGAGGUGGAUGGUGUGGAUGAAGAAGAGGAGGAGGAAGAAGGAGAAGUGAAGAAGAUGAGGAGAAUGAGGAUGGUGAGGAGGAAGAGUUUGAGGAAGAAGAUGAGGAAGAUGAGGUCAGCGGGGAGGAAGAAGAAUUUGGGCAUGAUGGAGAAGUAGAUGAAGAUGAGGAAGAGGAGGAUGAGGAUGAAGAAGAGGAAGAAAGCGAGAAAGUUGAAAAGAGGAAGAGAGAAACAGAUGAUUAAGAAGAAGAUGAUUAAGACCCAGAAAAACCGCCAAACAAAACUGUUCAGUCUUGGUUGGACUGCUCAUGGAUUUGAUAGCUGUUUAAAAAAGAAAAAAAAAAGGUAGCUGUGAUACAAACCCCAGGACGCCCACCCACCAAAGGGCCAAAGAAGAGUUCCUGUGACAUUCCGCCUUCCUCCUUUUAGUCCCUCUUGUAAUCCACCGCCAGCUUGGGGAGUUUGCGCCAACAAAAUUGUGAGCAUUGUUAGGUUUUUUGUGUAAGACUCUUGCUGUAGCACGGAGAGCUGUGAUUGGUGAGUCAACUGUCCGCAGCUACCAGUUACACUGAGAUUGUAACAGCAUUUUUACUUUCUGUACAACCAAAAAGCUUUGUAAAUAAAAUCUUAAUAUUUAAAAAAAAAUCUUGUC